AGGGAGGCGACUCCAACGGCAACAUCUUGACAACCGACGACAUCGGACACCACUCGCUGGCAACCCGAUUAACCAAACAAACAAAAAAAGGAAAAGAGGAAAAGAUCGUCGGAUCCUGUCUUGACCGGUGUUUUCCCCUUGCUUUUCGAUGGCUAACGAUGACCAGCGGUUGGGAGACGGUAGCAGCCCACUGAUUUAUCGAUUUUGGGACUGCUGUCGGUCGGAUUUGCA
rnacentral:lncRNA from 1 species